GAAACUUGCCCCGAGAUGAGUUCUCCCUGACCCUUUAAGGGUCCUGAAGGAACGUUGAAGACGACGACGUUGAUAGGCCGGGUGUGUAAGCGCAGCGAUGCGUUGAGCUAACCGGUACUAAUGAACCGUGAGGCUUAACCUUACAACGCCGAAGCUGUU
rnacentral:rRNA from 2 species